UGGGGAAUAUUGGACAAUGGGCGAAAGCCUGAUCCAGCCAUGCCGCGUGUGUGAAGAAGGUCUUCGGAUUGUAAAGCACUUUAAGUUGGGAGGAAGGGUUGUAGAUUAAUACUCUGCAAUUUUGACGUUACCGACAGAAUAAGCACCGGCUAACUCUGUGCCAGCAGCCGCGGUAAUACAGAGGGUGCAAGCGUUAAUCGGAAUUACUGGGCGUAAAGCGCGCGUAGGUGGUUUGUUAAGUUGGAUGUGAAAUCCCCGGGCUCAACCUGGGAACUGCAUCCAAAACUGGCAAGCUAGAGUAUGGUAGAGGGUGGUGGAAUUUCCUGUGUAGCGGUGAAAUGCGUAGAUAUAGGAAGGAACACCAGUGGCGAAGGCGACCACCUGGACUGAUACUGACACUGAGGUGCGAAAGCGUGGGGAGCAAACAGGAUUAGAUACCCCCGUAGUCCCUGAGCGGGCUGGCAAGGCG
rnacentral:rRNA from 1 species